CUUCGUUCCAAUUGCCAGUUCUCUUUUUUUGUGGUAAGAGCAGACACAAUCACAGUUACUGAAACAGACUCAAUAGCUGGAGAGAACCCUAUAUAGACGCACAGAGGAGAGAAAUGGUAGGGGCAUUUUGGGGAACAAGAAUAAUAGAGAUAGUGAAGAAGCAUGACUCAGGAGGUCUAGUAUGGAAAAGGAUAAAGCUCACCACUACCCGUAAAGCCAACGCCAAGAAGCGACUCCUUAGGGUUUGGCAGAAUGAAGCUGUGUUGAAGGCAUGUGCUGAACCACCACCUUCAAAAACUUCUAUAGCUGAUGCUGCUGGAGUUGCAGAGAAAGAUGGCCUCAACACCCAAAUUUAACUUGUGAAAUGAGUGAGAAUAAAUCUCAAGGAUGUCUUAUGGUUGCAAGUAUGGGGAAGCCAGUUUUUGUGCCUGUGUCUAUCUAGGAUUAUGUGUUUUAGGCUCUGAUUUUAGUUUCUCUAUCACUCCAAUUUAAAAGGGUUUAUAGAUUUUGUAACAUUUCUCUUUAACACAGAUGGAAUUUUAGUUGUUUUUUUUUUCUUUUGAAUAAAAGUCUAUAUUGGCCUUUGUACUGAUGGUAACUUGCGUGAUCUGGUUCAUGCCAUUAAUUUUGUGCUGUUUGAUUGCUAGAUCACUUUGCAAUUAUCUAUACAUGCAAAAAGGAAAGAGGUUCUGUUCAGCAGACUAUGCAAGUAUAUGCAACCAUGAGUUUUCAUUUGUGUCAUUGAAACAAG
rnacentral:misc_RNA from 1 species